rnacentral:rRNA from 1 species
UACGUAGGAUGCAAGCGUUGUUCGGAAUUACUGGGCGUAAAGAGUACGUAGGCGGUAAUAUAAGUUUAAUAUUAAAGACCGAAGCUUAACUUCGGGAAUGUAUUGAAAACUGUAUUGCUAGAGGUUAAUAGAGGAAGUCGGAAUUCUCAGUGUAGCGGUGAAAUGCGUAGAUAUUGGGAAGAACACCAGUGGCGAAAGCGGACUUCUGGGUUAAUACUGACGCUGAGGUACGAAAGUGUGGGGAGCAAAC